rnacentral:lncRNA from 1 species
GAGGACAGCCGUCUGCCGGGCCAGGUGAGUCCCCUUCCCUCCCCAGGCCUUGUUUCUCUGGCCUCCUGCAUCCGGAGGUUCUGGGGAGCGAGGGCCGGCGAGGCGAAGCGGCUGACCCCCCGGCAGAGUGGCGGCGGACGACAGGCAAGGCGGGCAGAACAGGUGACACGUCUCAGGGGGAGCUGGGACCGGGCGGGGCUGGGGGGCCGGGGCCGUCCCAGGUGGAAAGAGCAUCUCAAGCGAAUGGUGCUACCCAGCUCAUGCCUGGGCCUUGGACCCGGACUUCUUCAAGUCCUCCUAGCUCUGACUCAAGAAUAUGCUGCAUUCUGGAGCCACUACACUACUUGACUCAGGAAUCAGCUCUGGAAGGUUGAGCCAAAGGAACAGACGUCCCACACCACCGGACCAACGGCACCCGCGGGGUUCCCCACCCCCCGCCCGGCCACUCCACCUCGGCGGCCACCCCCUGCUGCGCCCUGGAGACACCACCAGCCUCCCUCUCUCCCCUUCCUCCUUUUUUUCCUCUGUCUUUUCUCUUCUCUUCUUUCCUCUCCUUUGCUCAGAAGACUCGGGGCAUCCAGGACUCUGUGUCCCCGUCCUUCCUGAAUUAAUUUGCACUAAGUCGUUUGCACUGGUUUGGAGUCCUGGAACCAGCCCCGGGUCUCGGAGCGGGUGUGUGAGCUGCCGAGUGGCCUGGCCUCCUCGGCCCGCGCCCCCUCAGCACCUGCCAUUGUCCAUCUCUGUCUGGGGGUGACUGGGUGGGGGCCUGAGUGUGUGGGGCCCCGCCCUCCCCUCUCCUAGUCUGGAAGCUCCGACCACCGAGCAGACCUCAAACGCUGCACUGAGUGUCCAUCUCGUCAUGUGCCCCUCCUCGCCAGGGCCACCCCAGAGCCCUGGACUCAUCAAUAAACUCAGUUACC